UUUUUUUUUUUUUUUUUGUGGGUGGGGGGGGUAAUUAAAUACCCACUCUAAAAUAUGAUGAAGAAAAGGGUAUGGGUUUGGUUUUAUGAAAUUCAAAAGUUAAACCGAAUUUUCAUUAUUGUGAAAGCGACUGCAAAAAUGAAACACGUAUUAUUGUCCGAUAAAAUAAAACAAUUGGUGCAAAUUCAAAAAGGACACCACCACACCACCAAAUGAGAUGGCCGUUCUACUAUCACAUUGAUUCAUCAUGAUUGAUGGUCGCCCUCAAUUCAUAAAGAACAAUGAUUUAAAAGUUUGGAAUAUACUAAACUUUUUACGUUCUUUUCUUUGCAAUAAUAAUAAUACAACUAAUAUUAUUACUUAAAACUUGGAUCCACGUAUGUGUGCACCUCACGUGCUAGUUUCACAAUAACGGUCAUUAUCUUUGUCAUUAUUAUGGGAUAUAACAGUGGUAAUAAUAAUAAUUGUACUCCGUCCUUUAAUUCGUGGAAUUAAAAAGUCCGUAUGUAAGUUCUAUUUUCACUGUAGCACUUUUCUUAUGAUGUGAUGUAUGUGAGAUAAAAAAAUAUAUUAAAAAUUGUAAUGAUGAUGUAAGCAAAUAUAAUUAAGAAAAUAAUCAGCUGUCCAAACAAAGCCUACACGUGUUUGAAAACCGAGCAUAGAAUGAAUGCUAUUAGGCCUUGAUGGUCGGAGAGAUUAAAGUUCAACUCUUGUCUUCCAUUAAUUUGUCAUUAUAUGUAAUGAAUUUAAUUGAUUUUAUUUGAUGGAGUUUUUAUCCACAUAUAAUUCUCUUCUCGGAGCAAUACAAAGAAUCAAUUAAUAUAAUGUUGACAAAUUGUCACUGUCCUGGAGAUAGAUUGUUCAUUCCUCUCAACAAGAGAAGAAAAAAUAUCAUGCCAAAGAAGUUUAAUUCUAGUAGAAACACAAUAGUCAUUAUAUGGAAUUUGUCUUCUAAUAUAGGUCUUAGCAGGACAUAAUAGCAGGACAUAGUCAUUAUAUGGAAUUUCUGUACCUCAGAUAUAUGGACUUGAACAAUAGUAAGUAAAGGACUCCUCCAAAUUCUCAACUGCAACAUCAGAGGACUAAAAAAUUACAAAGAACUGUCUGCCUUUAAUUAGCCUGCUACCUUUAUC
rnacentral:lncRNA from 1 species